UACGAAGGGGGCUAGCGUUGCUCGGAAUCACUGGGCGUAAAGGGUGCGUAGGCGGGUCUUUAAGUCGAGGGGUGAAAUCCUGGAGCUCAACUCCAGAACUCGCCUUUGAUACUGAAGAUCUUGAGUUCGGGAGAGGUGAGUGGAACUGCGAGUGUAGAGGUGAAAUUCGUAGAUAUUCGCAAGAACACCAGUGGCGAAGGCGGACUCACUG
rnacentral:rRNA from 1 species